UACGUAGGGUGCAAGCGUUGUCCGGAAUUAUUGGGCGUAAAGAGCUCGUAGGCGGUUUGUUGCGUCGGCUGUGAAAUCCCGAGGCUCAACCUCGGGUCUGCAGUCGAUACGAGCAAACUAGAGUGCUGCAGGGGAGACUGGAAUUCCUGGUGUAGCGGUGAAAUGCGCAGAUAUCAGGAGGAACACCGGUGGCGAAGGCGGGUCUCUGGGCAACAACUGACGCUGAGAAGCGAAAGCAUGGGGAGCGAACAGG
rnacentral:rRNA from 1 species